UACGUAGGGGGCAAGCGUUGUCCGGAUUUAUUGGGCGUAAAGAGCGUGUAGGCGGCCAGACAGGUCCGUUGUGAAAACUCGAGGCUCAACCUCGAGACGCCGAUGGAAACCGUUUGGCUAGAGUCCGGAAGAGGAGAGUGGAAUUCCUGGUGUAGCGGUGAAAUGCGCAGAUAUCAGGAAGAACACCCGUGGCUAAGGCGGCUCUCUGGUACGGUACUGACGCUGAGACGCGAAAGCGUGGGGAGCGAACAGG
rnacentral:rRNA from 1 species